CCUACGGGAGGCAGCAGUGAGGAAUAUUGGUCAAUGGGCGGAAGCCUGAACCAGCCAAGCAGCGUGCAGGAUGACGGCCCUACGGGUUGUAAACUGCUUUUAUACGGGAGUAACACGCCUUGCGUGUAGGGCUUUGCGUGUACCGUAUGAAUAAGGACGGGCUAAUUCCGUGCCAGCAGCCGCGGUAAUACGGCGGGUCCGGGCGUUAUCCGGAUUUAUUGGGUGUAAAGGGAGCGUAGGCAGCAUGACAAGCGGGCUGUGAAAUGGCCGGGCUCAACCCGGGCCUUGCAGCGCGAACUGGCGUGCUUGAGUCCGCGGAAAGCAGGCGGAAUUCGUGGUGUAGCGGUGAAAUGCGUAGAUAUGACGAAGAACCCCGAUUGCGAAGGCAGCUUGCUGCAGCGGAACUGACGCUGAUGCUCGAAAGCGCGGGUAUCGAACAGGAUUAGAUACCUGAGUAGUC
rnacentral:rRNA from 1 species